rnacentral:rRNA from 1 species
AUUGAACGCUGGCGGCAGGCUUAACACAUGCAAGUCGAGCGGGGAAGGGUAGCUUGCUACCUGACCUAGCGGCGGACGGGUGAGUAAUGCUUAGGAAUCUGCCUAUUAGUGGGGGACAACAUUCCGAAAGGAAUGCUAAUACCGCAUACGCCCUACGGGGGAAAGCAGGGGAUCUUCGGACCUUGCGCUAAUAGAUGAGCCUAAGUCAGAUUAGCUAGUUGGUGGGGUAAAGGCCUACCAAGGCGACGAUCUGUAGCGGGUCUGAGAGGAUGGUCCGCCACACUGGGACUGAGACACGGACCAGACUCCUACGGGAGGCAGCAGUGGGGAAUAUUGGACAAUGGGCGCAAGCCUGAUCCAGCCAUGCCGCGUGUGUGAAGAAGGCCUUUUGGUUGUAAAGCACUUUAAGCGAGGAGGAGGCUACUUGGAUUAAUACUCUAGGAUAGUGGACGUUACUCGCAGAAUAAGCACCGGCUAACUCUGUGCCAGCCGCCGCAGUAAAAC